rnacentral:rRNA from 1 species
GACGAACGCUGGCGGCGUGCUUAACACAUGCAAGUCGAACGGAAAGGCCCUGCUUUUGUGGGGUGCUCGAGUGGCGAACGGGUGAGUAACACGUGAGUAACCUGCCCUUGACUUUGGGAUAACUUCAGGAAACUGGGGCUAAUACCGGAUAGGAGCUCCUGCUGCAUGGUGGGGGUUGGAAAGUUUCGGCGGUUGGGGAUGGACUCGCGGCUUAUCAGCUUGUUGGUGGGGUAGUGGCUUACCAAGGCUGUGACGGGUAGCCGGCCUGAGAGGGUGACCGGGCACAUUGGGACUGAGAGACGGCCCAGACUCCAACAGGAGGCAACAGUGGCGAAUAUUGCACAGUGGGAGGAAGCCUGAUGAAGCAACGCCGCGUGCGGGAUGACGGCCUUCGGGUUGUAAACCGCUUUCGCCUGUGACGAAGCGUGAGUGACGGUAAUGAGUAAAGAAGCACCGGCUAACUACGUG